UGGAGUGUGACAAUGGUGUUUGUAUCCAAUCCGUCAAACGCCAUUAUCACACUAAAUA
rnacentral:pre_miRNA from 1 species